rnacentral:tRNA from 1 species
UUUUAAUAGUUUAAUAAAAACCUUGGUCUUGUAAAUCAAUAUUGACCUUAGUCUUAAAACUU